rnacentral:sRNA from 1 species
GAAAGUGAUGAGAAGCUUUGUCGCCCCAGUCUUACCCGCAUCAACAUAUUUGAUGCUUCCUGGUGAUUGACUCUCUUUCUGAUUCCUCCUCCUUUUCGUUUCUUUUUAAUAUUUUUUUGGUGCAAUAAGUCCGGAAGAGGCAAAUUGGGGGAGGUGUGAUGAUGAUUAUCCAUUGAAUCAUCCUGAAUAAUCAUAUUCUGAUGACUAAUUAUCAAUCAAAAUUACAUGCACUACCAUCUGAUCUCUC